AAUAGGAUCAUUUUUCAGUUUUUUGAUACAAUGUUUUGACUCUUCGUUUUAUUUGAGAUUUUUUUGCGAUUAAUAUUUUUAUUCUUACUGGAUGAUAAAACAUGAAUACUACUUUAUGCGUGACUAAUUUUUUUAAUUUUUUUAUAAAUUUUUCAAAUAAGACGAAUAUUCAAAUGUUGGACAUGGAAAAAC
rnacentral:pre_miRNA from 1 species